CAGAAAAAUAAAGAAACUUGUCCAAGCUUGUACAGUUGGCAAAUUGACUCACUGGAAGGCUUCCAUGGGGAUGGAUAAAGAGAGAUCUCCAAGUCAGAAGGACUGCCUCAUUUUCCAGUAGGGCUGAACUCCACCAUGCAGACCAUAAACCUCUGCUGCUUCUUGUCCUUAGUGUCCCAAAAAAUUUGUAAAAGAGAAAAACAAACAAACAACAACAACAACAAAACAAUGCCCACGUCUUUCAUUAUGAGGAAAAUGGAUGCCAGGAAUGGGUAGAUUUCUGUUUUGGCUGGGCAUACAAGGGCCUAAUUUGACAAUCCACAUGAUAUAUUGAGUCUCUCCAUGUAUGUAAGGGUCUGCAGAACAUUCACCAGGGGUGUUCUACAGAUACCAGUAUCUCAAACUAUUCCCGACUGAAUACCUUAUCUUUUCACCCAACUUGCUCAUUCAGUCAUCCAACCAAACCAAGAAUUUGGAUAUCAUCCACAUGACUCUUCCCCACCCCCUAUUACCUGCCAAGCUGUCUGAUCUACUUAGUCAUUAAGUGAACUUAUGUUGAUUUGUUUCCCUUAUUACCUUUCCUCUUUUACCCAUUUCUUCUGGUGCUGCUGCUUCGCUCAGUUCCUAGUUCACUCUUUCCCAAACUAUUGUGGUAAUCUACCUUCUGAUUUCAAUGGCAUCUCAUCUCAGGUUGAAUGACCUACAAGGUCCUCCAUGAGUCUAAUGUCUCUGCUACCCUUUUUCUCAUCCUAAAUGUCAGCGAUGUUGAACUAUUCGCAGGUCUCCACUUCAUGUGAUUUUAUAUCCCAUGCCUUUGAAUAUUCUUCUUUUCUUGGAGUGUCACUCCCACGUAAUUUUAUCUGUCAAACUCGUAUUCCUAUUUUAAGACCCAGCUCGAGCAUCAUUUUCUAGAAAGCCUUGCUGGAAGCCCAAAUUGUUGAUCAUUCUCUUCACUGGGUCCCCUCUUUAAUUUGUACAUACCGCAUUAUUAUACUUGUUAACUGUAUUGCCAUUGUUUGCUUGCAGUCCUGUAUUUCCUUUACAAAUGUAAAUGGCCAAAGGCAGGAACUAUGGCUUUUCAUUUUUUUGUCUUCAGCAUCUACCACGUUAUCUGGCACACAGCAGAUUCUCAGGCCAGAGGAUCUACUACCACAGAACAUUUCUAGAUGUCAAUUCCUGGUAUGAAAGGAUUGGGAGUUAACAGAAGAGCCGCAGAGAGGACUCUGGAUUCUCAGCUAGUGUUUGAUACUAUUUAAGGGUUCCAUCAGUUUAAUGCUCACACAGCAUUUAUUAGCUAUGCGAACUUGACCAGAUGAAGAAACUGAGACUUAGAAAGGAAGAAAGAGUCACCCAGGUAGCUGGUCACAGAAUCCCUCCCUAGGGAUCUAGGAAGAAAGUGCUAACAUUGCUAAGUCAUGCUGCUUGAGAAGGGUUAAUCUGGCUUCUCAAUUUCUAAGUUCCAAAGCACAUCAUGAACCUGCACAUAAACUAAAUGUUCAACAACACUUUCCAUAAGUACUCAUUGAUGUCCACCUUGUUGGACAAGACAUUGUGCUAAUCUUUGGAAUAUUGCCAUUAACCUGAGAGACAUUAGAGGAGCUUCCAUUCCAUUCAGGGAGACAGCUAUGAAACACCUGGUUAUGUGUGUGGUUGCCUUGUGAUAAACACUAUGGAGACGCAUAUACCAGAGGUUCUGACUUAAGCUGGUAUGCUGGUCAGAAAGACUUCCCUGAGGAAAGAAUUUGUAAACUAAGUGCUAAAGGGUGAGUAGGAAAAAAUCAACUAGAAAAGAAAUGGAGGAAAAGCAUUUCUGGCAGAAUAGCAUGUUCAAGAACUUGGAGCAUUUGCAUGCUAGAGGAAGGCCAGUGUGCUAUACCCAGAGGCUGAGUGAGGCAGGAAGAUGACAUGGAACUAUGGG